GGACUCCAGAAUCAUGCCCUGGACGGUAGGCAGGUGCUAAACUGCUGAGCCACCCAGGGAUCCCCACCUAGAUUAUUUUUGUAAAGAUUAUUUGAAGAUACUGUGAGCACUUAACAUAGUAUGUGGCACAUAGCUCUUAAGAAAUGUUGGUAUGAUAGUUAUUGUUACUAUUUUUAAUUAAAAAAUAUAAAUGACCUAGUUCCUUCUGUAGAGGUACUCAGAGAUAAGAGGCAUUUCUGGUGAGGGGUAGGAUGAAGGCGAAGCCUGGCCUCCAGGAUUGAUCUUUGGGAGAGAGGCAGAGGAGGAUCUGUGGUCCCCAAGCCACUAUUGUAGGUUUAUAGCUGGAAAACUCUGUAAAAUACUUUUAGGAAUUGGAUCAUGGUGAACUGUAACACAACAAGUUCCGGUAAUUAUAGCUUCCACUCCUUCUAAUUUUCCUUUCUCCUCUAUCUUAUCCUUAUCAACUUUCAAAUCCUCUCUUCCCCUCCCCUAAGUUCAAAUUCAAAUGAACUUCCAUUAGAGUAUACAUGAUUAAUAGGAAAUUUAUAGUUGGUACAGUAUUAAGACAAAUUAACUCAUGUGGAUUUCUCAGACUGUAUAACAUAGUGUUAGGUUUUGUUUUGUUUUGUUUGGAAGGGGGCUGAUUCAGCAGGGAUCCUUUUGAAUAUCUACAUACAUGCCCUCUUACCCAACAACCCAGUGGUAUCCAGAAGUCAAAACUAGAUAGUUUAUUUGAAUUUGUAUUCUGGCCAAGGUAAGGGAGAAGUGAGAGAAGAGAGAGUGAAAUAGGAGUCUUUAAAGUAAUCUGUAGGGAAAGGGUGGUGGUUCUGUGACAAAUAAAAUUGUGGGCCCUCUUCCCAGCCAUGCUUAUCUCAGAUUACCUUUCUUCCUGGCUCCUCACUCAGUAACAAAGAAGUUUCUAAUAUGAAUGAUCUGAGCACAAGACAUUGAUUGGACUAUGUGGUAGGCUGUAUAUUCCUAAAAUGUCUCAUCUCUCAUGGUCUUCUUAUGAUGUGAUGUUGACCUGCUUCAUUGUGAGGUGGCAUCUGUGGAGAACAGAAGGAGCCCUCUGGUCUCAGGCAGAUAUCUACAAUUGCCUCAACUACUCAAAUGUCACAGAAGGACUUUGGAAGUUGGAUCACAGAAGUUAAUAUGACUUCCAUGUGGCAUUCUCUCAGGACACUUGUCAUGUUUGGGGGAAGCCACAUGGAAAGGCCACAUGUCCUGGCUGACAGCUAACCACCAGAUGUAUGAGUGAAUGAAUGUUCCUUCAGACCGGUCCAGUCCUCAGUCUUUGGGUCUUCCGGUGGAGAUUCCAGAAAUUGUGGAGCAGAGAAAAGCCAUCCUUGCUGUGCCCUGUCUGAAUUCCUGACCCAAGAAGCUGUCAGAGAUAAUGGCUUUCAACAAUAGUCAUUGAUUAAGUUUUGGAGUGAAUUGUUACACAACACCAGCUAUAGAGGACUACUAAAAUGGUGGUUGAAACAGAUCCUCAUUUUCAGUUCAAACUGCAAGGGAAAAGGAAAAGGUUCUUCUCUUAACUCGCAAAGGCACUGGAGUCUGCAGCCUCUGAGUAAAGCUCCCUGAUGUUGGUUUGGCUUUGGUGUUGUGGGUGUUACAAACAAAUGGAGCUCCAGCAUUCCCACCAACACGUAUCGUGCCUCAGCAAGAACAACUGGACUUUGCAGAUUUGUUGCAUUAAUGCUUUCUGAUAAGUGUUUCCAAUGAAUAAAGUGCCUCUAGCUUCACGGUGUUCAAAGACUACUGAUUUUGAGGACUAAGUAUAAACUUUGGGCUUAUCAUUUGGCCUCUGUCUACCAGUUCCUCCUCUCAUUUGAUUGCUCCUUCAGCCUACAUUACUUUUAAGCAAGACAAAC